UACGGAGGGUGCAAGCGUUAUCCGGAUUCACUGGGUUUAAAGGGUGCGUAGGUGGGCAGGUAAGUCAGUGGUGAAAUCUCCGGGCUUAACCCGGAAACUGCCGUUGAUACUAUUUGUCUUGAAUAUUGUGGAGGUAAGCGGAAUAUGUCAUGUAGCGGUGAAAUGCUUAGAUAUGACAUAGAACACCAAGUGCGAAGGCAGCUUACUACACAACGAUUGACGCUGAGGCACGAAAGCGUGGGGAGCAAACAGG
rnacentral:rRNA from 1 species